GCCUGGGUGGCUCAGUCGGUUGGGCGUCUGACUUCAGCUCAGGUCAUGAUCUCACGGUUCGUGGGUUCGAGCCCCACAUCGGGCU
rnacentral:tRNA from 1 species